GCAUUUUUCAUGGAAAGCUCCUCAUGCUUUUUAAUUCCAGUUUAUCCAUUUGUGUGGCUUUAACCUCCACAUCCAGGUCUUUCUGGCUAAACUGCAGUAUAUCCACAAUGGGGCCAAUGGACACAUAAGGGAGGCCCUAUCACAGGAACACGAACACCCGGAGUCGCUAGAAAUCAGAUUCCACCGGCUUUGCUUCAGGCCGACUUCCUAAGGAAGGCAUGGUAGCAUCACAGAUGCUGUUUGUCUCAGUUUCCUGAGAAGCCAGUUUCUUAGAGCUGUCAUUCAAGAGUGGGUCAAAUUUGAGAUAUAAAAACCUUUCUCAAGGUAGACUCUUUGGCCCCUAUGCCUAGUAUGUCAGCUGGGCCUCUGAAGCUCUCCUCUUUGAGGUCCUGGCAGGCUCUGGCCCCUGUUGAGAAGGGGAAGCAGUCAUGUGAACUCAUGUGCUGGAAGAAUCCACUCUACCCCUUCCCUGGCUUCUCUGCUGCAAUUUUUGUCUUUAAACGUAUUUUCAGGUGAUUCCAGUUUGCAUACAUAAUUGAGAAAUAUAAGAUUUGGUCCCCAGUAGAGAGCCAGGUGAACUUAAGAAGGAGUCCAUCUAAGAAAAUUGCACAAUUAUCUAGUUUCACUUGGGUUUAGCUUUUAUGGCUUACUUGAUUUAGUAAUCAAAUGAUUUUCAAAUGAUUUUGAUCAGGUGACUCUUCGUAAACUAGAGAAUGAACUUGAGAGCCGAAUUAGCACAGUUUAAAAAUAAUCAUUUAGUUUUUGUUCUCUAUUGUGUAAAUUAUUGAGGUUUGACUGUCUUGGCUAAACUAAGGCUCAUCUAAUAUCUUUAUUUUUGAUAUCCUAAUUUCUUGCCAAUUAAUUGAAGGUAACAUACUAGCAGACCAGAUAACUACUUAUGCAAACCUCAGAUAACCACUAAUUUAAACAAAAUUAAAUCCUUUGCCUUCCCCAGAUCCUUUGCACAUGGCCUGCUAUCAACAAUCCUCUACAAUGAUUCUCAGCAUCACCUAGGGAGCUUAUGUAAAAUCUCAAAUUCCUGGGCCCUAUCCCCAGAGUUUCUUAUCAAGUAAGUCUGCAUUGGGAUCUGAGGAUUUGCAUCUCUAACAAAAAUUCCUAGGCGAUGCUCACACUGUUGGUGUAAGGUUUCCUUGAUGGAGAACUAUCAAAGCAGUCAAAGCUAUCAAAAUAAAAAAGAAUUCUGAUUGGGUGCAGUGGCUCACACCUGUCAUUCCAGCACUUUGAGAGGCCAAGGUGGGCAGAUCACAUGAGGCCAGGAGUUCAAGACCAGCCUGGCCAACAUGGCAGAAACCCCAUCUCUACUAAAAAUACCAAAAUUAGCCGGGCAUGGUGGAACACACCUGCAAUCCCAGCUACUCGGGAGGCUGAGGCAAGAGAAUCGCUUGAACCUGGGAGGCAGAAGUUGCAGUGAAACAAGUUGGUGCCAAUGCAUUCCAGCCUGGAUGAUGGAGCGAGACUCUGUCUCAAGAAAAAAAAAACAAAAACAAAAACAGAACUCUGCCUCAUAGCGUCUUUUAAGUUAUACACUGGACCUAUCCUUUCCUCACUGACAGACAUUUUAAAAAUUUUUUGGUAAGGCCUAGUUCAUAUAAAAUGUAAUCCAAGCCAAAAGUUAACAAGAAUAAGGGGAGGAAAGGGGACUCCAAUAGCAGAGAAAGGUAUUUACCUGGGAUAUACACUGCAAGAAAAUCAAAGCUAUAAGAAACGUCCAUGAAUAGUAGCCAUAAGGCAUCAGAGUGAUAAAAUUCCUGUCCCUAGGAGGGAAUAUUGGAGUUUGCCAGAGAAACAGAAUGAGAGAGACAGAGAGGUUUAUUGUAGGAAUUGGCUCAUAUGAUUACGGAGGCUGAGAAGACCCACGAUCUGCCAUCUGCAAGCUGGAGAAUCAGGAAAGCUGGAGGUGUAAUUCAGUCAAGUCCAAUGGCCAGAGAAGCAAGUGUACUGAUAUCCAAGAGCAGGAGAAAAUAGAUGUCCCAGAACAAGCAGAGAGGCUGAUUUUGUCCUUCCUCUGCCUUUUUGUUUCAUAUGGGGCACUGAAUGGACUGAUGCCCAUCCACAUUAGUGAGGGUGGAUCUUCUUUACUCAGUCUACCAGUAGAAAUGUCAAUGACUUCCAGAAACACCCUCACCAACACACGUGGAAAUAAUGUUUUACCAGGUAUCUGGGCAUCCCUUGGUUCACUCAAGUUGACACAAAAUUAACCAUCACAGAAGGAGACUGGCCUUACUCUGAAAUUAGGAAACUAAAGAAGUGACCAGAAUGGAGACUAGGUAGAGACAACUAGUUCUCUACCAAACAUGUACAGUUAUUCGUUGGUAUCUGAAGGGGAUUGGUUCCAGGAACUCUCAGGGAUACCAAAAUCUGCAGGUGCUCAAGUCAUUUAUAUAAAAUAUUACAGUAUUUGCAUAUAACCUUUGCACAUCUUCCAUAUACUUUAAAUCAUCUCUACAUUACUUAUAAUAAUGAAUGUGUAAAUGCUAUGAAAAUAGUUACUACACUAUUGUUUAUUUGUAUUUUUAUUGAAUUGUUUUGGGGUGGGGGGCAGCUGUAUCUUUCUUAGUAAUAGAACCCCUGGUUUUAGCUGGGCACAUGACUGCCCUCAAUAAAGAUUAAAGUACCCCAGCCUUCCUUGAGAUUGUGGCCAUGUGACUGAACUUUAGACAGUGAGAUAUAAGCAGAUAUCUUCUGUGGCAGUGUUAGGAAACUAUUAAAGACAGUAAGAACAUUGCCCUUUGCCUUCUUUUUCCUUUCUUCAUUUUUCUGCCUGGAAUGCAAAUGUGAUGGCUAACACCCUAGCAGCCAUUUUAGAUUAUGAAGAUGAGAGUCACUCCCCAGGAAGGGUGGACCUGAAAGCUGGAUUCUAGAUGUGGAAUGACAAUACCAGCCCUGGACUACCUACCUGUAGGCUGUGUGUGUGUGUGUGUGAUUGACAGAGAGAGAGAGAGAUAGAUACCACAAGUAACACAAAGCAUCAUACCUGGGACUGGGAAGGUUAAUGUUUAAACAUUUUAAAUGUGGCAUUGGUUUGUUGAAGACAGUCAAGCAGUAGGUGCUGCAGGCUUUGUUGAGGCUAGAAAGCUGUUGGUCUUUAUUAGGUGAUGGCAAAACAAUGGAUCACAUUUUCAUGUGCUGUGUCUUGGGAGGCAAAUGAUGAGAAUGUAGGAUUGGGGAAAAUGGUAAGGAAAAUCCAAAAUGUUCAUGUUUUCUAACCCCUUCUUGCCAAUCUUAAAAGAAGGACAAACAGGCUAGAUUAAGCAAGUCUACAGUUACAAUUGGAAGGAAACACAGCCGUACUAAGGAAGUACUCUGUCUGUGGCCUGCAGUCUAGUUUGACUAGGUCCUGUAUUUGAGCUUUGAAAGAGUAAAGAAUACAAGUGCUCGUAUACCCCUGAAGUAGUUACCAGCAGUGACUGCAAGGAGGUAAUCUUAUGGGAUGAAACUAUAACUCUGUAUUAACCAUCAUAUAUAGCAUAUAUGUGUAUAUGUAUGUGUGUGUGUGUAUAUGUGUAUAUAAAUAUAUGUGUGUGUAUAUACACACAUGUACACACCCUACAACCCAGUGAUUUCAAAAAAUUAAACAUUUGUUUAGCUCAUGAAUCUGUGGGUUGGGUGAACAUUUCUAUUGGUCUUGGCUGGGCUCACCUGUACCCAGUCAGCUGCAGGGUCUAGCUCUUCUUAUCUUGGCUGGGAUCUCACACAUGUCUAGGAUCAGCUGCUUUACUAGUCUAGGAUUGUCUUGGCUGAGACAGGUGGACUACUCAGUUCUCCUCCACUGCCUUAUCCUUCAGCUGGCCAGCCCAGAAAUGUUGCCAUGUUUACAGCAUAAGAGCAAGCAAGAAAGAAUAAUAUGCAACCACUUUUCCAAGCCUAAGGUGAAAGGGCGGGCAGAACCUGUGGUGUUAGGAGGCAACUCAUACCAGCCCAUGGGUCUACCGUUUAAUUUUCAGAAAUUUGGCAAGCUGAUUGUUAACACAGCUGUUGUUUAAUUUAUGUACUUGUAAUUAAAUAAUUUACAUUAAAACAAAG
rnacentral:lncRNA from 10 species